UGCAGUCGAGCGAAAGAUGAGAAGCUUGCUUCUCUGAUGUUAGCGGCGGACGGGUGAGUAACACGUGGGUAACCUACCUAUAAGACUGGGAUAACUCCGGGAAACCGGGGCUAAUACCGGAUAAUAUUUUGAACCGCAUGGUUCAAUAGUGAAAGACGGUUUCGGCUGUCACUUAUAGAUGGACCCGCGCCGUAUUAGCUAGUUGGUAAGGUAACGGCUUACCAAGGCGACGAUACGUAGCCGACCUGAGAGGGUGAUCGGCCACACUGGAACUGAGACACGGUCCAGACUCCUACGGGAGGCAGCAGUAGGGAAUCUUCCGCAAUGGGCGAAAGCCUGACGGAGCAACGCCGCGUGAGUGAUGAAGGUCUUCGGAUCGUAAAACUCUGUUGUUAGGGAAGAACAAAUUUGUUAGUAACUGAACAAGUCUUGACGGUACCUAACCAGAAAGCCACGGCUAACUACGUGCCAGCAGCCGCGGUAAUACGUAGGUGGCAAGCGUUAUCCGGAAUUAUUGGGCGUAAAGCGCGCGUAGGCGGUUUCUUAAGUCUGAUGUGAAAGCCCACGGCUCAACCGUGGAGGGUCAUUGGAAACUGGGAAACUUGAGUGCAGAAGAGGAGAGUGGAAUUCCAUGUGUAGCGGUGAAAUGCGCAGAGAUAUGGAGGAACACCAGUGGCGAAGGCGGCUCUCUGGUCUGUAACUGACGCUGAUGUGCGAAAGCGUGGGGAUCAAACAGGAUUAGAUACCCUGGUAGUCCACGCCGUAAACGAUGAGUGCUAAGUGUUAGGGGGUUUCCGCCCCUUAGUGCUGCAGCUAACGCAUUAAGCACUCCGCCUGGGGAGUACGACCGCAAGGUUGAAACUCAAAGGAAUUGACGGGGACCCGCACAAGCGGUGGAGCAUGUGGUUUAAUUCGAAGCAACGCGAAGAACCUUACCAAAUCUUGACAUCCUUUGACCGCUCUAGAGAUAGAGUCUUCCCCUUCGGGGGACAAAGUGACAGGUGGUGCAUGGUUGUCGUCAGCUCGUGUCGUGAGAUGUUGGGUUAAGUCCCGCAACGAGCGCAACCCUUAAGCUUAGUUGCCAUCAUUAAGUUGGGCACUCUAGGUUGACUGCCGGUGACAAACCGGAGGAAGGUGGGGAUGACGUCAAAUCAUCAUGCCCCUUAUGAUUUGGGCUACACACGUGCUACAAUGGAUAAUACAAAGGGCAGCGAAUCCGCGAGGCCAAGCAAAUCCCAUAAAAUUAUUCUCAGUUCGGAUUGUAGUCUGCAACUCGACUACAUGAAGCUGGAAUCGCUAGUAAUCGUAGAUCAGCAUGCUACGGUGAAUACGUUCCCGGGUCUUGUACACACCGCCCGUCACACCACGAGAGUUUGUAACACCCGAAGCCGGUGGAGUAAC
rnacentral:rRNA from 2 species